CCUACGGGUGGCUGCAGUCGAGAAUCUUCGGCAAUGUGCGCAAGCACGACCGAGCGACGCCGCGUGUGCGAUGAAGGCCUUCGGGUUGUAAAGCACUGUCGAGGGGGAGAAAAGCCCGAAAGGGUCUGAUCUAUCCCUGGAGGAAGCACGGGCUAAGUUCGUGCCAGCAGCCGCGGUAAGACGAACCGUGCGAACGUUGUUCGGAAUCACUGGGCUUAAAGGGCGCGUAGGCGGGCUGCCAAGUCCGUGGUGAAAUCCCCCGGCUCAACCGGGGAAUGGCCUCGGAUACUGGCGGUCUCGAGGGAGGUAGGGGCGUGCGGAACUGUAGGUGGAGCGGUGAAAUGCGUUGAUAUCUACAGGAACUCCGGUGGCGAAGGCGGCACGCUGGACCUUUUCUGACGCUGAGGCGCGAAAGCCAGGGGAGCGAACGGGAUUAGAUA
rnacentral:rRNA from 1 species